GAUGAACGCUGGCGGCGUGCUUAACACAUGCAAGUCAAACGAAGCACUUUAUUUGAUUUCCUUCGGGACUGAUUAUUUUGUGACUGAGUGGCGGACGGGUGAGUAACGCGUGGGUAACCUGCCUUGUACAGGGGGAUAACAGUUGGAAACGGCUGCUAAUACCGCAUAAGCGCACGGCAUCGCAUGAUGCAGUGUGAAAAACUCCGGUGGUAUAAGAUGGACCCGCGUUGGAUUAGCUAGUUGGUGAGGUAACGGCCCACCAAGGCGACGAGCCAUAGCCGACCUGAGAGGGUGACCGGCCACAUUGGGACUGAGACACGGCCCAGACUCCUACGGGAGGCAGCAGUGGGGAAUAUUGCACAAUGGGCGAAAGCCUGAUGCAGCGACGCCGCGUGAGCGAAGAAGUAUUUCGGUAUGUAAAGCUCUAUCAGCAGGGAAGAUAAUGACGGUACCUGACUAAGAAGCACCGGCUAAAUACGUG
rnacentral:rRNA from 1 species